ACGGGUGAGGAAUACAUCGGAAUUUGCCCUGUCGUGGGGGAUAACGUAGGGAAACUUACGCUAAUACCGCAUACGACCUAACGGUGAAAGGGGGGGAUCGCAAGACCUCCCGCGGUUGGAUAAGCCGAUGUCAGAUUAGCUAGUUGGCGGGGUAAAGGCCCACCAAGGCGACGAUCUGUAGCUGGUCUGAGAGGAUGAUCAGCCACACUGGGACUGAGACACGGCCCAGACUCCUACGGGAGGCAGCAGUGGGGAAUAUUGGACAAUGGGGGCAACCCUGAUCCAGCAAUGCCGCGUGUGUGAAGAAGGCCUUCGGGUUGUAAAGCACUUUUAUCAGGAGCGAAACACGUAAGGUUAAUAACCUUGCGGACUGACGGUACCUGAGGAAUAAGCACCGGCUAACUUCGUGCCAGCAGCCGCGGUAAUACGAAGGGUGCAAGCGUUACUCGGAAUUACUGGGCGUAAAGCGUGCGUAGGUGGUUUCUUAAGUCUGCUGUGAAAGCCCCGGGCUCAACCUGGGAAUUGCAGUGGAUACUGGGGAGCUAGAGUGCGGUAGAGGGUAGUGGAAUUCCCGGUGUAGCGGUG
rnacentral:rRNA from 1 species